CCAACUCAGCCAGAUCAAUUCGGUCCAAACCUUGAUCAACUUACUUGGAACAAAUCCUGGUCAACUCGGGCCAACACUCCUGUCUUGGUCGAACUAUUUCGUCUCUUCUUUUUUGCACAGAUUCCCCUGUCAUUGUCGAUAUCCGUUGGCCCCUUGCGGUCGGAGUCAAACCGUGCACUUAACUUCUUUCCAUGCAGUUGUGUCCGCUAUGAUGGCACUCCCUAUUCCAAACGAUCCAAUAUAUGGUUUAAAGGUAUACGUGUAUUGUUACAUGGAGAUACUUCAAAUUUGCCUUAGUCUGGGCUUUUGUUGCCUGAUUGGUGUUUUGCUCAUGUAGCAGAUUGGUAUUUUGCUCAUACAAUACAGCUUCUAAAAACACCGGAUAUAAGUUACCAUGUACGUGGAUAACGGUGAACAACCGAUAUGUGUAUACAUGGAGAUACUUCGAUUUUACCUAAUAGUCUAGGUUUUUGUUGCUUGUAAAUUGUCUCAUAUUUAUUCCCUACAAAAUAAACAUAGAAAAAAACAGCAGUUGACAGUUUCCGAAGAACGAAUCUACAAAAACAGAUCAAUUAACAGACAACUACUAUUGUAAGACUACUACUGCACAACCAAUCAAUGAACAGCAUCCAAUUUGUGCAUUUGCAUAAUUUUGGUGUGAGAAGUAUAAAUUUUUGCCCCCGUCUCUAUAUGUGGUACUCAGUUUCACCUUAACAAACACUGUUUUUACUGAACGAUCUGUAUUAAAGCGUUUUACGUGGUAAUCUCUCCAAGUAUCCUUAUAUAUCAGUUAUAACCUUGUAAUAUUACUUGUAUCAUAGACUCAGAAAAUCAUAGAUACUAGUAGUAACGACUGCUUUCAUAGAGUAACGCAGGUCGUACAACUGCGAGUCUAGUUUGUAAACACAGAUCGCCUCUGUAGUCAAAUGAUAUCCGUAAGAACAAACCUCAUGUAUCGGUUAACGUAAUGCUGUUGUUAUAUAUUGUAUUGUCACCAAAGCUAGCUGUUGAAAUAGCCUCCGGCUAGUUGGGUAGCCCUGGCUGUAUCUCUCUAUACAGCAGAAUAAUUCAAAUCAAAAUCUCUAUAUGCGAUUGAAAAUAUCCAACUAUAAAGUUGACUGUUUCCUUUUACCUCAGGUGAGUCAACACCAUGAGGCUGUUCGUCUGUAUGCUGCUUGUGACGAUGGUUUUCACCGCAGUGCUUAUUGACCACUCGGAGGGCUUCAUAGUGUUUGCUAGGCGCCGUCGAUCUAAGCUGGAAAAUGAAGAGCUGCCGGGGUACGAGAAAGAAACGAGGUCCCUCAUGGAAAUCCUGAAAGACCUGUUGGAUGACGUGGAUGAGCAGCUUGACGCACGUGCACAGGAGGUACGGGAUCCAGAGGAGCAAGAAGACGCCCUGAUGCGACGCUGACCCCUGUACCCGGCAUGGCAGCCUACCGGAUCAACGGAAGACCGGCGUUUCCAGUGAUGACCAAAAAAUAAACACUGGGUUGACAAAUAAAAGUCAUGAAAACGUUGA